rnacentral:tRNA from 1 species
GCCGGAGUGGUGGAAUGGUAGACACGGAGGAUUCAAAAUCCUCUGCUUAAUAGGCGUGAGAGUUCGAGUCUCUCCUUCGGUACCA